rnacentral:rRNA from 1 species
GUCGAACGGCAGCACGGGGGCAACCCUGGUGGCGAGUGGCGAACGGGUGAGUAAUACAUCGGAACGUGUCCCGUAGUGGGGGAUAGCCCGGCGAAAGCCGGAUUAAUACCGCAUACGCUCUACGGAGGAAAGGGGGGGAUCUUAGGACCUCUCGCUACAGGGGCGGCCGAUGGCAGAUUAGCUAGUUGGUGGGGUAAAGGCCUACCAAGGCGACGAUCUGUAGCUGGUCUGAGAGGACGACCAGCCACACUGGGACUGAGACACGGCCCAGACUCCUACGGGAGGCAGCAGUGGGGAAUUUUGGACAAUGGGCGCAAGCCUGAUCCAGCAAUGCCGCGUGUGUGAAGAAGGCCUUCGGGUUGUAAAGCACUUUUGUCCGGAAAGAAAUCCUUUGGCCUAAUACGUCGGGGGGAUGACGGUACCGGAAGAAUAAGCACCGGCUAACUACGUGCCAGCAGCCGCGGUAAUACGUAGGGUGCAAGCGUUAAUCGGAAUUACUGGGCGUAAAGCGUGCGCAGGCGGUUCGCUAAGACAGAUGUGAAAUCCCCGGGCUUAACCUGGGAACUGCAUUUGUGACUGGCGGGCUAGAGUAUGGCAGAGGGGGGUAGAAUUCCACGUGUAGCAGUGAAAUGCGUAGAGAUGUGGAGGAAUACCGAUGGCGAAGGCAGCCCCCUGGGCCAAUACUGACGCUCAUGCACGA